rnacentral:rRNA from 1 species
UAAGGUGAUAUGAACCGUUAUAACCGGCGAUACCCGAAUGGGGAAACCCAGUGUGACUCGUCACACUAUCAUUAACUGAAUCCAUAGGUUAAUGAGGCGAACCGGGGGAACUGAAACAUCUAAGUACCCCGAGGAAAAGAAAUCAACCGAGAUUCCCCCAGUAGCGGCGAGCGAACGGGGAGGAGCCCAGAGCCUGAAUCAGCAUGUGUGUUAGUGGAAGCGUCUGGAAAGGCGCGCGAUACAGGGUGACAGCCCCGUACACAAAAGCGCAUGUGCUGUGAGCUCGAUGAGUAGGGCGGGACACGUGGUAUCCUGUCUGAAUAUGGGGGGACCAUCCUCCAAGGCUAAAUACUCCUGACUGACCGAUAGUGAACCAGUACCGUGAGGGAAAGGCGAAAAGAACCCCGGCGAGGGGAGUGAAAAAGAACCUGAAACCGUGUACGUACAAGCAGUGGGAGCCCCACCACCAAAGCAUUCUCUGGUGUUGAAGGCCCUGCAAAGCAGCAUCGCGGUGGCGGAGCGUCGUUUGCGACGCCCAACACACAAAACAAGCGGUGAGUGCUUUGGGGUGGGGUGACUGCGUACCUUUUGUAUAAUGGGUCAGCGACUUAUAUUCUGUAGCAAGGUUAACCGAAUAGGGGAGCCGGAGGGAAACCGAGUCUUAAU